UUGAAGUGUGUAAAAUAGGGCAAUUAAGCUGUUGAGGCCUUUUUAAAAUUGUAAGGGAGUGAACUGAUGCUACAGUUGGGUGACCAUGAGUAUAGAUUCUUGCUUUGUAGAAGGUUGCAUAACGUGUAUGGUGUACAACUCUAAGAACAACAUUGCUUCUUCAAUUCAUUAAUAUUGUGUCUUCACAGAUACGGCUUCCAUGUUACCAAAGCUUCAUAUUUCAUCUGCCACGAUCCUAAAGUUAUUCAACAGCUUUUUGACAACCUUAGAAAUUUUGAUGGAAAAAACACAUACCCAAAAUCUUGCGGUAGAUUUAAAGUUUCUGGAAUAAGGGAUCUGACUACUGGGUAUGACAGCAGCCAGCCAGAUCAAAAGGCUAUUCUUCCUACUAGUAAAAGUAGCCAAAUGAUAACAUUCACUUUUGCUAAUGGAGGAGUGGCCACAAUGAGAACCAGUGGGACAGAACCAAAGAUCAAAUACUAUUCUGAACUUUGUGCACCUCCUGGAAACAGUGACAUUGAACAGCUGAAGAAGGAACUAGAUGAAUUGGUCAACGCUCUUGAAAAACACUUCUUUCAACCAGAAAAAAAUAAUCUUCAACGGAAGACUGAGUAAAAGAGCAAAAUUACUACCUUAAUUGGUUUUUGCAGCAUUAGAAGUGCAUUAUUUAAGAAGUAAGGAUUUUUAGGACCAAACAUCUAAGAACUCAGACUGAAAAGACUUCUGCUUUUAUUAAGAGUUAUUCUGGGUACUCUUGGAUCUAGUAUCUUAUUUUGGAAGGAAAGUACCUUUACACUUAAAGGACCAAAAAAACCC